GACAGAGGUGCCGAGCGUUAGGCGGAAUCACUGGGCUUAAAGCGUGUGUAGGUGGAUGCCUAAGUACCUUGUGAAAUCCCACGGCUUAACCGUGGAACUGCUUGGUAUACUGGGUGUCUUGAGCCAGCUAGGGGCUACCGGGAACAAAUGGUGGAGCGGUGAAAAUGCGUAGAUAUCAUUUGGAACGCCAAUGGUGAAAGCAGGUAGCCUGGGGCUGUGGCUGACACUGGAGACACGAAAGCCCAGGGGAACGAACGGG
rnacentral:rRNA from 1 species